rnacentral:rRNA from 1 species
UGGGGAAUAUUGCACAAUGGGCGCAAGCCUGAUGCAGCCAUGCCGCGUGUGUGAAGAAGGCCUUCGGGUUGUAAAGCACUUUCAGCGGGGAGGAAGGCGUUAAGGUUAAUACCUUUGCUCAUUGACGUUACCCGCAGAAGAAGCACCGGCUAACUCCGUGCCAGCAGCCGCGGUAAUACGGAGGGUGCAAGCGUUAAUCGGAAUUACUGGGCGUAAAGCGCACGCAGGCGGUUUGUUAAGUCAGAUGUGAAAUCCCCGGGCUCAACCUGGGAACUGCAUCUGAUACUGGCAAGCUUGAGUCUCGUAGAGGGGGGUAGAAUUCCAGGUGUAGCGGUGAAAUGCGUAGAGAUCUGGAGGAAUACCGGUGGCGAAGGCGGCCCCCUGGACGAAGACUGACGCUCAGGUGCGAAAGCGUGGGGAGCAAACAGG